rnacentral:rRNA from 1 species
UUGGAGGGCAGUCUGGUGCAGCAGCCGCGGUAAUUCCAGCUCCAAUAGCGUAUAUUAAAGUUGUUGCAGUUAAAAAGCUCGUAGUUGAAUUUCGGGGUUCUACCGUUGGUCGGGCUUUGUCUGUACUGGUGUGUAGAAUUUCUACCUUCCUCGGGAACCAUCAUGCUAUUAAUUUAGCGUGGUGGGAAACCAGGACCUUUACCUUGAAAAAAUUAGUGUGUUCAAAGCAGGCUUAUGUCUGAAUACAUUAGCGUGGAAUAAUAGAAUAGGACGGUGGUCCUGUUUUGUUGGUUUCUGAAUCACCGUAAUGAUUAAUAGGGAUAGUUGGGGGCAUUAGUAUUCAAUUGUCAGAGGUGAAAUUCUUGGAUUUAUUGAAGACUAACUUCUGCGAAAGCAUUUGCCAAGGAUGUUUUCAUUAUUCAAGAACGAAAGUUAGGGGCUCGAAGACGAUCAGAUACCGUCGUAGUCUUAACCAUAAACUAUGCCGACUAGGGAUCGGACGAUGUUAAUUUUUCUUGACUCGUUCGGCGCCUUACGGGAAAC